rnacentral:sRNA from 1 species
AGCAGCUGUGGUAAUUCCAGCUCCAAUAGCGUAUAUUAAAGUUGUUGCAGUUAAAAAGCUCGUAGUUGAAUUUCGGGGUUAGUAGGUUGGUCGUGCCACUGGUAUGUACUGGUCUCACUGAUUCCUCCUUCCUGAUGAACCGUAAUGCCAUUAAUUUGGUAUUGCAGGGAGACUGGACUGUUACUUUGAAAAAAUUAGAGUGUUUAAAGUAGGCUAACGCUUGAAUACAUUAGCAUGGAAUAACAGAAUAGAACGUUCGAUCUUAUUUUGUUGGUUUCUAAGAUUGAUGUAAUGAUUAAUAGGGAUAGUUGGGGUAUUAGUAUUCAAUUGUCAGAGGUGAAAUUCUUGGAUUUAUUGAAGACUAACUACUGUGAAAGCAUUUGCCAAGGAUGUUUUCAUUAAUCAAGAACGAAAGUUAGGGGAUCGAAGACGAUCAGAUACCAUCGUAGUCUUAACCAUAAACUAUGCUGACUAGGGAUCGGAUGAUAUUAAUUUUUUAAUGACUCAUUC